AGUGGGUCAUUGAAGAAAUCAGGAG
rnacentral:piRNA from 1 species